UGGUCAAUUUAAUCUUCACCAAGUCUGAGGCUUUACCAUGAAAAAUAUGUGGUUGUUAUAAUGAUGAUGUUUUCAUGGUGUUGGGAGUAAGACUUGGAUGUCUGAUAUUGUUAACAUGUUGGUUAGCAUCAGGUUUCCAUUGGGUUACAUGCUGGGAUAAAGCUGU